AUAAGUUUUGGUGGUAUAUACCUCUAUUGUACACCAGCUUUAGAAUUACCAGGUUUGGGAUUACAAAGACAUAAACCCAAACUAUUUCAGCCAUUAACACUCUACAAAAGUGACAUUCAGCUUCCCUUGGUGACAAUACUUUAAUUUAUUACAGUUGUCUCCUGCCAAAUUCUGGCCAAUGUACUAUUUCUCCUUGUCACAGCCAGCUGGCAUCCUGUUCAGCAGUUACAAUGUCAUAAAAGUGACUUAUGACAUUGUAAUUACACUAAUUUGCUUUUAUGAUCGUGGGACCAUCACAAUGGCCAAAACCUACCUUUUAACCCACCCCAACCCCCACCCCAAUAAAGAAAUCUCUGAGAUACUGAGCUGUGGGGGGAUGAGUGAUGAUACAACUAGUCACCUUCUGAUAAUGGAGUAGACACACUAAGAGCAACUCAGGUUGCUGGGACUACUUGGCUUUAAAAAACAGGAGGGUUUUAUCAUAGCUACAUCUCCCAGUGUAGGGUCUCAGCCAACCAUGUGAUGCAGAUUAGGAUGAAAAUGGCAUGAUUAAAGAUGGUCAAUGAACUGCCAGAUUCACAAGGAAUUAAGCCGAUUUCCUCCCAAAAUGAAUAAAUUGUCCAACACUAGGAACUACACUGCAUUUUAAUAA